AUUGAACGCUGGCGGCAUGCUUUACACAUGCAAGUCGAACGGCAGCGCGGGCUUCGGCCUGGCGGCGAGUGGCGAACGGGUGAGUAAUACAUCGGAACGUGCCCAGUAGUGGGGGAUAGCUCGGCGAAAGCCGGAUUAAUACCGCAUACGACCUGAGGGUGAAAGCGGGGGAUCUUCGGACCUCGCGCUAUUGGGGCGGCCGAUGGCAGAUUAGCUAGUUGGUGGGGUAAAGGCCUACCAAGGCGACGAUCUGUAGCUGGUCUGAGAGGACGACCAGCCACACUGGGACUUAGACACGGCCCAGACUCCUACGGGAGGCAGCAGUGGGGAAUUUUGGACAAUGGGCGAAAGCCUGAUCCAGCAAUGCCGCGUGUGUGAUGAAGGCCUUCGGGUUGUAAAGCACUUUUGGCGGGAACGAAAAGGACUGUGCCAAUACCACGGUUCGAUGACGGUACCCGCAGAAUAAGCACCGGCUAACUACGUG
rnacentral:rRNA from 1 species